AGUGAACGCUGGCGGCGUGCCUAAUACAUGCAAGUCGAACGGAGUGGCGCACGGGUGAGAAAUAUAUAGCUAAUCUGCCCCUUGCUGGAGGACAACAGUUAGAAAUGACUGCUAAUACUCCAUAGCAAGGGAUGAGACUAUAUCGUAUCAGCUAGUCGGUGGGGUAACGGCCUACCGAGGCUAUGACGCGUAACUGGUCUGAGAGGAUGAUCAGUCACAUUGGAACUGAGACACGGUUCAAACACCUACGGGAGGGAGCAGUAGGGAAUACUGCGCAAUGGGGGAAACUCUGACACGGCAACGCCGCGUAGAGGAUGACACUUUUCGAAGCGUAAGCUCGUUUUGUUAGGGAAGCGGUACCUAACGAAUAAGCACCGGCUAACUCCGUGCCAGCCGCCGCGGUAAUUC
rnacentral:rRNA from 1 species